CACAUGCACAAAUGCCCUCUGUGAGGCCUCUUGCUUUUACAGAGGCCUGAAACGGCCAAAAAGGCUUCCAUUACCUGGCUGUGGCGGUGAUGAGGAAGGCCGGUAGGGGGAGAGGGAACCUGCACGGACACCUCCCCCCGCAGCUACAGCAAGUCCCCUGAAGGGGAAAAUUUUGACGCAAGCUUCUGGACUCCACAAUUGACCGUCGUCUUUUUCUACUAAUCUAUAAGGUAUAUGAAGAUUCCUAUUUGAAGGAACUGUGUAAUUCAUUAGGACAUCUUACAAAAGAAAUUUCAACCAAAGGAAGAGUCAGACAAGAAGCACCUUUCAACAGAUAAGGACACUUCCAACAGACAGUUAGUCAUCUGGCAGCGCUGCCACUGACCUGGAGGAAGAACUUCAAGACCCUCCUGUUUUCUCAGGCUUUUAAUUAGAAUUAAUUGUAAUAAUUUUAAAAACUUGUUUUAAUAAUUUUAUUCUAUUUUUUAUUGUCAUGUAUUUUAAUUUGUGACAUUUAAAUAUUUUAAAAUUUGUACACCACCUAGAGAUAUACUUAUCAGGCAGUAUAAAAGUAUGAUAAGUAAAUAAAUAAAUGAAAAAAUAAAUAAAUAAGCAAACUAACUCUUAACUGCAGCUAAACUGAUAGUACUGGAAACCCCUACCUCACUUACAUGACAAAACUGGAUUGUUGAAGUUUGGACACUGUUGUUUGAAUUAAGUUAACUCAUAUUAAGUGUCAAGAGGGUGUUUGGGUGAAAGAAAGAUGUGUUCACAAUUGGAGAUGCUUUAUAAUAUAUUGGAACAAUAAAGUAUCAGAUAAUAUUCACCCUGUUCAGGUGUUUGACGUGAUAUCUUUAUAUGCUUUAUGUUGCCAGGCACCUGAAUGUAGAUUUCAAGGUUAGAUAAGGGAAGCUUAACUGGAUAUUGGAGAUUGUGAUGCUCCAUUCAUUUUUUAAAUUGUGGGGUUUUUUUUUAAUACUAGUGUUUAAUAGAUUUCUGAUUAAUUGUUAAUAUACUUUUGAUUAAUGUUUGUAAAUUUUGUAAAAUUCUAAUAAAUUUUAAAAGGUUAAAAAUACUAAUGAGAUUUCAAAAAUGAAACAGGAUCCUC